UUUAUUGGAGAGUUUGAUCCUGGCUCAGGAUGAACGCUGGCGGCGUGCCUAAUACAUGCAAGUCGAGCGAAUGGAUUAAGAGUUUGCUCUUAUGAAGUUAGCGGCGGACGGGUGAGUAACACGUGGGUAACCUGCCCAUAAGACUGGGAUAACUCCGGGAAACCGGGGCUAAUACCGGAUAAUAUUUUGCACCGCAUGGUGCGAAAUUCAAAGGCGGCUUCGGCUGUCACUUAUGGAUGGACCCGCGUCGCAUUAGCUAGUUGGUGAGGUAACGGCUCACCAAGGCAACGAUGCGUAGCCGACCUGAGAG
rnacentral:rRNA from 1 species